rnacentral:misc_RNA from 1 species
UACGAAUGGGGCAAGCGUUGUUCGGAAUCACUGGGCUUAAAGCGUGCGUAGGCGGAUUUGCAAGUCAGAAGUGAAAGCCCAGGGCUCAACCCUGGAACUGCUUUUGAAACUGCAAAUCUAGAAUCCGGGAGGGGUCAGGAGAAUUCCCAGUGUAGAGGUGAAAUUCGCAGAUAUUGGGAGGAAUACCAGUGGCGUAGGCGCCUGACUGGACCGGAAUUGACGCUGAGGUACGAAAGCGUGGGGAGCAAACAGG